ACUCCUAGGGAGGCAGCAGUGGGGAAUAUUGCACAAUGGGGAACCGUAGCAUGCAGCCAUGCCGCGUGUGUGAAGAAGGCCUUCGGGUUGUAAAGCACUUUCAGUAGGGAGGAAGGUAGUGUAGUUAACACCUGCAUUAUUUGACGUUACCUACAGAAGAAGCACCGGCUAACUCCGUGCCAGCAGCCGCGGUAAUACGGAGGGUGCGAGCGUUAAUCGGAAUUACUGGGCGUAAAGCGCAUGCAGGCGGCCUGUUAAGUCAGAUGUGAAAGCC
rnacentral:rRNA from 1 species